rnacentral:lncRNA from 1 species
UGCUCACAGUAUAACAAUAAUGAACAAAAGGCUGAACACAAAAUAUACCCAUACAACAUGGUGAAACCCCAUCUCUACUAAAAAUCCAAAAAUUCAAAAAUUAAAAAUUAGCUGGGCAUGGUAGCGUGUGCCUGUACUCCUAGCUACCCUUGGGGGCUAAGCAGGAGAAUCACUUGAACCCAGGAGCUAGUUUGUUACUUUAACCCUAAAACAACCUGUUGCUGCUUAUAGUUCUGACUCAAAUUCACACUAGGUCUUAGCAAUACAUCUUAUCUCUCCUGAGACAGCACUAAAAUAAGAACAUAAAUGCACAAAAAUAGAAUUAAUACGUAACUAAGAAGAAUGUAGGAAAGAAGUUUUCAAAAAAUGAGGAAUAAUAACAGAUUUCUAACAACUGGAAAAUGCAGAACAAACUACUAAACGGAAUUAACAGUAAAGAUCUAGAAAAUACAGUAGAGAACUCUGCUACAGUGUAAAGCAGAAAUGCAGAGCCAGAAAGCAUGAGGGAACAGAUAAAAGACCUAUAGAAGUGGUAUGGACGCCCCAUAUCUGAGUAAUAGAAACCCAAAAACAACGUGAAUACAGAAAACGGAGUAGAAGAAAUCAACAGAGAACUGAUAGAAUCAAAUUCUUCCAAGUUGAAAGAUACGAGAAUUUAAAGUGAAAAAUGCCAAGUGGA